rnacentral:rRNA from 1 species
UACGUAGGGUGCAAGCGUUAAUCGGAAUUACUGGGCGUAAAGCGUGCGCAGGCGGUUCUAUAAGACAGAUGUGAAAUCCCCGGGCUCAACCUGGGAACUGCAUUUGUGACUGUAGAGCUGGAGUACGGCAGAGGGGGAUGGAAUUCCGCGUGUAGCAGUGAAAUGCGUAGAUAUGCGGAGGAACACCGAUGGCGAAGGCAAUCCCCUGGGCCUGUACUGACGCUCAUGCACGAAAGCGUGGGGAGCAAACAGG